AUUGAACGCUGGCGGCAUGCCUAACACAUGCAAGUCGAACGGCAGCACAGUAAUGAUUUCGGUCUUUAUGGGUGGCGAGUGGCGGACGGGUGAGUAAUGCGUAGGAAUCUGUCCUGGAGAGUAGGAUAACCCGAGGAAACUCGGGCUAAUACUGCAUGAUAUCGAGAGAUCAAAGGCAGGGGACCCUUCGGGGCCUUGCGCUCUAGGAUGAGCCUACGUCGGAUUAGCUAGUUGGUGGGGUAAAGGCCUACCAAGGCGACGAUCCGUAGCUGGUCUGAAAGGAUGACCAGCCACACUGGGACUGAGACACGGCCCAGACUCCUACGGGAGGCAGCAGUGGGGAAUCUUGGACAAUGGGGGAAACCCUGAUCCAGCGAUGCCGCGUGUGUGAAGAAGGCCUUCGGGUUGUAAAGCACUUUAGUUGGGGAAGAAAAGUAGUGAGUGAAUAACUGAUUGCUCUGACGGUACCCAAAGAAUAAGCACCGGCUAACUCUGUGCCAGCCGCCGCAGUAA
rnacentral:rRNA from 1 species